rnacentral:snoRNA from 1 species
AGCGACAUGAGGAGACUGAAACAUCUGAAAGUUUUCAUGUGGAUAAUACACAUAUAUGGUCUUCAAAGUUCUCUGAUCGCU